UACGUAGGGUGCGAGCGUUAAUCGGAAUUACUGGGCGUAAAGCGUGCGCAGGCGGUUCGUUGUGUCGGCGGUGAAAGCCCCGGGCUUAACCUGGGAAUGGCCGUUGAAACUGGCGAACUGGAGUGUGGCAGAGGGGGGUGGAAUUCCGCGUGUAGCAGUGAAAUGCGUAGAGAUGCGGAGGAACACCGAUGGCGAAGGCAGCCCCCUGGGCUGACACUGACGCUCAGGCACGAAAGCGUGGGGGAGCAAACAGG
rnacentral:rRNA from 1 species